rnacentral:rRNA from 1 species
UACGUAGGGGGCUAGCGUUAUCCGGAAUUACUGGGCGUAAAGGGUGCGUAGGUGGUUUCUUAAGUCAGAGGUGAAAGGCUACGGCUCAACCGUAGUAAGCCUUUGAAACUGGGAAACUUGAGUGCAGGAGAGGAGAGUGGAAUUCCUAGUGUAGCGGUGAAAUGCGUAGAUAUUAGGAGGAACACCAGUUGCGAAGGCGGCUCUCUGGACUGUAACUGACACUGAGGCACGAAAGCGUGGGGAGCAAACAGGAUUAGAUACCUCCGUAGUCCCUGAGCGGG